rnacentral:rRNA from 1 species
UAAGGAAUAUUGGUCAAUGGACGCAAGUCUGAACCAGCCAUGCCGCGUGAAGGAUGAAGGUCCUCUAGAUUGUAAACUUCUUUUAUCUGGGACGAAAACGGGAUUUUUAUCUCAAUUGACGGUACCAGAGGAAUAAGCACCGGCUAACUCCGUGCCAGCAGCCGCGGUAAUACGGAGGGUGCGAGCGUUAUCCGGAUUUACUGGGUUUAAAGGGUGCGUAGGUGGGCUUAUAAGUCAGUGGUGAAAUCUCCGAGCUUAACUUGGAAACUGCCGUUGAUACUAUAGGUCUUGAAUUAUCUGGAGGUAAGCGGAAUAUGUCAUGUAGCGGUGAAAUGCUUAGAUAUGACAUAGAACACCAAUUGCGAAGGCAGCUUACUACAUAUAAAUUGACGCUGAGGCACGAAAGCGUGGGGAUCAAACA